AGAAGUUAGGGCACAAGGGACAAAGGUGAGAGCAAGGUUAGAUUCAUUUAGGUGCAAGAAAUCAUAGAGGGAGGAGGGAGAGGAAGGCCUCCUGCUACCACCGAGGAAGAAGCGCAGCUUAAGGCAGAAAGCCUGUCCGGAGAGGAAGUGAGUUUGAGGGCAGGGCUCUCUGGGUAAAGUACGGUCUGGGACACCAGCCUGGGGGAAGGGUACAGAAUGCAGAGUGGCCUGGCGUGGGGACUAAGAACAGAGGAGAGCAGCUUUCACUGGGAGGGUCAGUGUUUUCAGUGUCCAGCACUGAGCAAGGUCUUCCAUCGACGGACUCCCUAAAAAGCCAGCGGCGUGGAGGGGCGCCCUCUAUUGGACAAAUAGAUCUUGACUACUUUCGGCCCUCAAAUAGCCUGACUAGGCAAAUAACAAAUAAUAAUAAUUUUUUUUUAAAUCAUGGAAAAUAUUUUAAAAAACAAUUAAAAAGUUAUAAAUCUA
rnacentral:lncRNA from 10 species